GGUAAUUCUAGGCUAGAUGCCAGCGUGGCGGUAGCAUGAAAUAAAAAGCUCUGAUUAUUG
rnacentral:tRNA from 2 species